GAUGAACGCUGGCGGCGUGCUUAACACAUGCAAGUCGAACGAUGAAGCCCAGCUUGCUGGGUGGAUUAGUGGCGAACGGGUGAGUAACACGUGAGUAACCUGCCCUUAACUCUGGGAUAAGCCUGGGAAACUGGGUCUAAUACCGGAUAGGAGCGUCCACCGCAUGGUGGGUGUUGGAAAGAUUUAUCGGUUUUGGAUGGACUCGCGGCCUAUCAGCUUGUUGAUGAGGUAAUGGCUCACCAAGGCGACGACGGGUAGCCGGCCUGAGAGGGUGACCGGCCACACUGGGACUGAGACACGGCCCAGACUCCUACGGGAGGCAGCAGUGGGGAAUAUUGCACAAUGGGCGCAAGCCUGAUGCAGCGACGCCGCGUGAGGGAUGACGGCCUUCGGGUUGUAAACCUCUUUCAGUAGGGAAGAAGCGAAAGUGACGGUACCUGCAGAAGAAGCACCGGCUAACUACGUG
rnacentral:rRNA from 1 species